rnacentral:rRNA from 1 species
UACGGAGGGUGCAAGCGUUAUUCGGAAUGACUGGGCGUAAAGCGCACGCAGGCGGUUAUUUAAGUCAGAUGUGAAAGCCCCGAGCUUAACUUGGGAAUUGCAUUUGAAACUGGAUAACUAGAAUAUGUCAGGGGAAGGCGGAAUUUCCAGUGUAGCAGUGAAAUGCGUAGAGAUUGGAAGGAACACCGAUGGCGAAGGCAGCCUUCUGGGACUAUAUUGACGCUCAUGUGCGAAAGCGUGGGUAG